AUGCGCGUGGAGAUCACCUGGCCGAAGGGCUUCAGCAUGGCCUCCAGUUCCUGCUCAUCCAUGGACAGCGGCAGGUUGGAGAUGUACAGCCCCAGUCCAGCCGUGAGGAGCUCGUUUUGGGUUGCCAGCCCUGGUUGAAUGUGUUUGGGAGGUGUUCUGGAAGCAGGAGAUCUCAUAUUGGCUAAAAAAACAAGAUACCCUAAUAGGCAAGUGUUCCUGCAGUCUGAUACCUGGGCUGCCUUAUACACAUCUGCAGUGGGUAACUCUGGUCCUCCAGGGUUGGGGUCUUGCAGAUUUUCCAGUGGGCAAGCUGCCUGGCAAUCCAUCUGACCAAUCGGAAUCAUAGAGGGAAGGAACUGAGCCCCCUUCCUGUGUCAGCGAACCCAACUCCAGAAGAACUGCAGCUGCAGGCAUGAGUAUUCCCCGAGGAUGGCUUUAGUGGAGACGAUCUUCCCAUACCUGGAACACACAGACAGUCAGCUGAGGUGCAUGGGACUUCGCACUGUGAUUUAGUCCCCACAGUGGGGAGCUGGGGCCUGUUUUGACCCAUAGCGCAACAGUUCUUCAUGCUGUAUCCAGAUGCGUCGGAAUCAUACUGUCCUUCCACCGUGCUUUGCUUUUGCUGGGGUCCCGUGUUGACGAAACUGAUCAAUGUAAAACAGACAGUCCGCCUGUCCGGCAACCGUCCUCAGAGUGCAGGUGCGUUCUCUUGCCUGUGCUAUUGCCCUUCCUGAGGACAGACAUGCACGUGCUGGAUAAGGGCCCCAGCAAUAAGGAACACCUUCCUUCAGUACAACAGGCAUGCGCCUUUUAUUUUCUACCACGUUGAAAGUCGAAACAAUCCAGUUUUGUGGUGUGCAGUCCUUACUGGCGAUGCUGCAGUGCAGGGAAAGCCAUGUUGUACUGGGUUGCAUUUACUCUACUUCCUGUGGAUUCCUCUCAUUUCGAGUGGCCUAGCCGUGCUUUGCCGCCCUGUGCUGCUCUGCAGGGUGUCGCCGGGGCAGGCAGUGGGACAGCGUGCUACACCUUUGUGUGCUACCUGGUGCAGUAUUGUUCGUGCGCAGUGCGCCGGGGAUCAGACGCUCUCCUGGCGUGCCGUGCAGUGUAACCCGAUCUCUCUCCCAGUCCUGCGCUGGCAGGGCUCCAGGCGGCUGCCCUGUUCUCAGCCUCCGACAGGCAGGAGCAGGCAGAGCUGGGAGGGCCUCCAGCCGCCGGGUCCUACUGCACCCUGCCCUGCUGCCGCCACCAGCCCAGAUCCGCCACACGAACAAAGGCAGCCCUGUGGCUCCGCUGGCAGCCCGCACGGGCUUGUGUUUACCUGGAGGGAGCCCCGCAGAGGUGCUCGCCGGAGGAGCAGGGACACUUGGCCCUUCACGCGGGGCUCUGUACAGCUGUCUGAUGCUAUCAGCGGUUCCCGAUCGCUUCCUACAAGGGGCCUCACUCGUGAAAUCUCGGCAGUAACAGUAUGAGAGGCCAGCCUUGGCAGCUGGAGAAACACACCAAGGGCUUAGAGAUCGCAGUGAGAGAGGAAGUGGCGUGAAUGAAGGUAGGAGGCUUCUGUGACGCGUUCUGGAGUCGCACCUUGAGCCCUAGGGGUGCUGUGUGUCGUGGGGGGGUGGGGAGGGGGGCACCUGGCUGUAAACAGCACUGUGGUGCACAGCGGGGGCAGGCUGGGAGAGCUGAUAUCAUUCGCAUUGCAGCCAGCCAGCCAGGCAGGGAAACAAUAGGCUGUUUGUUCACUGGGGUCCUGAUCAAAGCCUGGCUGUCGCACUCUCUCUCUCACGCACACACCUACAGACAUCAGUGGCCAGGAGCACUGCUGCUCACCCCUUCAGUUAAAAGGCCGUUAUCGCCAUUUACUAACAAAGUGCAAAUCUGAAUUUUCAGUGAAAAUUGUGUCGAUCCGCCUGCCACUGGUGCGUUUGUAGACUUGCAGCACCAAAGAGGUAAAUAUGAUAUUUUAGUGGGGAUUGUAUUUGCUUGGCCUUUAUUUAGCCUGGGCUAAUUUUUGUACUUGUGCAAACAGCAGAUAUGCCCAGAGAGGUGUCAGCUUGUUUGGAGAGAGGCCUGCACUCCUCAGUGGUACCGAGGUGCAGGUUUGCAUGACUACCUUGAUGACCUAGAGAUGAAUUAAUUGAAAUACACAGCACACUCAGUCACAUUUGUGCAAUUUGUACAUAGGUUUAUGACACAUCGGUCGAAACAAGUAAGCACACCCUAGUUCUUUUUUCUCUCAUGGGAUGACAGGCGUACUGACAAGUGUUUGAGUUGUUCGUGUGAGAGCACGUGUCCGAGGGCUGUGUGUGCAUAACUGGGAUCUGUACAGAAAUGUUGGCUCCCGCACCCCACCCCAGCCGUCUCUGCAUCAAAGUAAUGAAGAAGAACAAGCCUGUCCAGGUUGAGCGUGUUCACAAAAGUACUCUAAAAGGUGACCUUUCUGUGUGACGAACCUCAGACCUCGCCAGAAGGAAGGAAGAGGGAAGGUUUAGUGGAGAGGCAGGCCCGCCGGCAUGUCUGUGAAUAGCCAGAGGACCUGGAAUGCGGAAAUGCUGUGACCUGUGACCCUGCUUGAAGUGACUUACAGUUCUAGUGGCUUUGGGAGCAAGGACGGGGGGGGGGGCGUCUUGCCCAUUUUACAAGCUUCCAGCUGAAUUCCAUUCAUCUCCAUCUGCCGCUACCUAUCUUUCCUUCCCUCUUCCCUCCCCUCCCCCUACGUUCUCAGACCUUUCUCCUGCCCCGAUCUCCUAACCUGCUUCUUCACCUCUGUUUUCCUUCCCUGAGUCUGCCAUUCUUUUUGAGAUUCCACAUCUUCCCUGUACCUUCCCUUUUCAGGUUCCCUUACCCUGUCCCUUGCUCCCUUCUCCCUCGUAUUUUGCUCGCUCUCUGUUAUCCAUUGCAGCCAUUCGUCUUGCGCGGUGGCAGCUGCACUUUCCUCCCCUGAUUCUGCCUCUCCUCCUCAUCUCCCCUCACUCCUUUUCUCUUGCUCUUUUUACACUUUUCUUUUCUCCCUCUGGGGUUCCUUGUUUCCUGUGGGAUAGGCAGUCUGUCAUGUGAGCGCUCUCUUCCAGACAGCUGAAAAGAAAAGUGCAGGCUCUCUCUGGUCAGCCACAGAUAUUUUUAUUACAGCUCUUUGGGCCUCAUGCCUUGAAAACCUUUUUGCUGGCUUAUCUGGAAUGAAAUCUACUUUGAUCAUCAAAGUUCAGGAACUUAAAACAAUAUUCCUUGUUGUGUGUGUGUGUGUCUGAUCUUGAUGUACUCAGUUUCUCAGAUUCCCCCAUAGCUCUUUACUUUUCAUUUAACAUGAUUUAAAAUAAUUAAAAAUGAACACAGACUAAGACAUUCAAAGACUAGAUUUUUUUUCAGGGGUGCUGUUGAAAGUGACUAAGUACGACUGAGAAGUGGAUGUUGCAGCAAGCUCUGUUUGUCCUCACAACAGUGCUGCAUAGAAUACACUAUAAUAAACAUUAUUAACAAGGCCUGUAUGAGGACCACAAGGUGUGCGUUCUAGGAAGAUGGCGAAUCACCUGCCUUUCAAUGCUCUUGAUACGCGUGCUGGUUUAUGUGCGCUACAGUGAAAGCUGUCCACUGGCUUUUCAGGACGAGGUAAAGGAACGUGACUGUGUUUUUAAGCUGACGCUCAAGAAAAUUGAGUUUUUGAUUCUGCCAGACUUGUCCCAGUCAAUAAGCCUGAUGUUAAAAAAUUGGAAUAUGAAAAAGCGAUUUAUUUUAAAUGGCUAUGGCUACUGUGUGGUUCUGUUGCAGAGGUGCAAUAGUGAACAUGAUCCGAGAGCAGCCCAGUCUGGGAGAUUGUGUAACUAGCGAGGAAGGAAUCUUGCUCAAACAGUGUCUGUGGAAACAGGCAAAGGGCAAAUUUCCCUAUUUUCCAGACAGGAGAGCGUAACCAUCUCUGGCACCAGCAAGGAAAACACAGCGGGUGUCAGAGGCUCCUUUCCUAACUAGACGUCUGCGUGAAAUUACCAUUUCAAAGUGUCAAACCGUCACGGGAGCAAAACAGAAACUAACAGGAAAGCAGUCUGUGCGUAGAAAGGGAAAGAAAGAUGAGGAGAGUACAGUGACAGGGAAAAUGGGCUAAAAAGCAGGAGUGAAAAGAAAGAUAAAAGAACAAGCCUGGGAAUUGUUGUUUUACCGUCUUCUUAACCGUGGAAUAAAAAAGUACCAAGCUCUUUUUGGAAAGUCUGGGCUCGGCGGUGAGCUGCCCUGCCCUGUUGAUGUUUCCACACAGUUCUGCUCAGGGCACCUUAAAGGUACUGUGCGCCAGAGUUCAAGCCCCGGGGUCCUGGUGUGCUAUAAUGUAACUGCGACGACCCCCUGAGCAACCUUCCUCAGCCACGGGUUACUGAGAACAAGAAGAGUGGACAUGCUCAUCCAGAUUCGGCUAACUGAUGGACCCGAGGAUCACCUGUAGGAAACCAGGGUACCGGCUUCUGCAAUGUGAUUGGGCAGCUCAUUUCAGUCUCCCGUCUCCUUUGGUGUGAAGAAGGACUUCCUGUUCUCACUUUUAAGAUUGCUUCCCUCUCAAUCGAGCCCGCCGAGAUGCUUUUUUUUUUGGUUUGUUUUUGAGAGGAAAAAAAGCCCCCUGAAUUAUCCAGUGUUUGCCAGAAAGGUUGGCAUAACCAAAAACUUUAUCCAUUGUCUUCAUCAGUCUGAUGUCUGAGCCUUGCACAGCUUUGGGCAGAACAUAAAUACCCUUUUAGGAUCAGGAGUCACAACAUGAAAUUGUGUCCAAAUACUCCCACUGAAUUGAAUAUGUAUGAACAUGCAUACAGCACUGCCUUCCCCUGUCUGGCUCUUGUCAUCUUCUGCUUCAUUUUAGCCGUCUCUGUGAUGCUAACUGACUUAGUUCAUAGAACCUUUGGCAACUGUUAGCAAGUAAAUUACGGGAGUGUUUUAGAAAUUUAGAAAACUAAAGCAGGAGUCAGGGUUCUGCACUUGUAACUUGUGGAUGGGCUGUGAGUUGGAGUCCCAGGUGAGACACUGCUAGUGUACCUUCUGUUGAGCAAAGAACUUAACUUGAAUUGUUGCAUUAGAAUACGGCGACUGUGUAAACAGGUGCAAAUGUAAGUCUUUUUGGUUAAAAGUGUCAGCUAAAUUAAUGAGUAAUUGGUAAAAUAAAAUGCUGAAGUUGUACUUCUACAUUUCUCACAAAUUCUGUUUGCACAAGUCGCCUUUAGACUAACCUGCCUCUUGCUGCAACUGUGACCGUGUGUGGCGUUGAGCUCACUCAUGUCUGUCGGCCACAUUCAGUGCUCAGCUUUUUCCACUGUCAGAGAUACUUGUGACUCAGCCCUUUUCCAUUUCAUCUUAUUCAAGAGCACAGAAUGUAGUCACAGUGGGCAGGACUUGUGGUCUAAGCAAGCUGUAAUAGCGAGCUGCAUUUUAAAUGUUUUUUUUGUUCAAUGAGAAGUCCAGGUUUUCCUCUCCAGUUGUUUACUAUUGAGUCGUGCACAGUGGCGUGAGGUACAUUUUCCCCCCUUAUAAAUGACAUAAAUUCCUAUGGAAAUAAAUGCUAUUUUCCUGUUGAGCACAAAUUGUGCAACUGCAUGUCUUAAGCUGGCAAAGACGAGCCUUAUUUUAUAAAUUGUUACAAUUACUAAUAGCAUCUUACGAAGAACAGCAGUGUCUAAGGACAGCACAGAUCGUCCCGGGGCUCCCCUAUUAGAGAUGACACUGUCCCAUGCUCCCUGCUUUUAUUUUUUUGUGGAGCAAAAUAAUAAAGAUGCUAUUUUUUAAAUUCAUGUCCACUGAUCCAUUUCGUAAAAAAAGGAGAUCCUUUCACCAUGGGAAAUUGGACAAGACUAGGGGUUGCAGCAGAAAGGGCUGCACUUGAAAGGCCAGCCACGGUCAAAGAUUUUCCAGCCCAGAAACCUCAAUUCCUGUGCGGGGGGGGGGGGUUGGGGGAAGAAAAAGGAUGCGAGUGGAAAAUAGGACGAGCGGCAGCCUUGAAAACGUGCCUGUUACGCGCUGCACCUGGAGCUGUCGUGCUUCUUUGGACGGUAGAAAUUCGGAGGAAAAUUCGCUCAGCCUGAAGGUUGGUUAAAUGUUCAGCCUCCGAUUAAAAUCUCACAGAGAGGAGGUGGGGG